UAAGCACUGCACAGAGGAUAGCUUGCUG
rnacentral:piRNA from 1 species